rnacentral:lncRNA from 1 species
AGCCUGCGACCGUCGAAACGCGAGUGGGAUUUUCCUCUUGCGUCCGUUGCGCCUGUGAUACCCGACAACUGUAGCAGCAUGUCAUCUGAUCCGACUUCAACUGAAGGCUCGCCGACUGAUGCGGAAGCAUUUUACUUCGUUUCGCAUGGGCCACCAAAGAAAAUUGUGAAGUUCACAGGCGCCCGGAAGCUCGCCGACCUUCACGAAAGUGUGCGGAUGGGUGGGUUCGCGCACCGGAUGACAUGCAACGAUCUCCUAAUACAGCAUGCUGGAAGCUGCACAGGGGAGUUGGCAAGGGGGCACAAGGAAGCAAUGCCCCGUUGCUGUCCGUAGGGUGAACGCAAGGCGGCUCGUGGCAGCCGCAAUUUCUACGCUGCGCUUUUCAUCUCUGAAGCCAUGCGCAGCAGCGUGCAGUCGUCAUGUUUAGAAAAGCAGUGCAAAGGUACCCGAAUAAGCUGUACAACAUUGCUGCAAGGUGCCUUGGUAAACCAGUACCCAGCCCUGAGGAACAGAUUGGACUCUGGCUAUAUGCAAAAGGCGUGAGCGCCAUCAUGGUUGUACCAUUUCUUGUCAAUGAGCAAGGGGACGACAUGUUCACAAAAAUG